rnacentral:rRNA from 1 species
GAUGAACGCUGGCGGCGUGCCUAAUACAUGCAAGUCGAGCGAACAGACGAGGAGCUUGCUCCUUUGACGUUAGCGGCGGACGGGUGAGUAACACGUGGAUAACCUACCUAUAAGACUGGGAUAACUUCGGGAAACCGGAGCUAAUACCGGAUAACAUGUUGAACCGCAUGGUUCAACAGUGGAUGACGGUCUUGCUGUCACUUAUAGAUGGAUCCGCGCCGCAUUAGCUAGUUGGUAAGGUAACGGCUUACCAAGGCAACGAUGCGUAGCCGACCUGAGAGGGUGAUCGGCCACACUGGAACUGAGACACGGUCCAGACUCCUACGGGAGGCAGCAGUAGGGAAUCUUCCGCAAUGGGCGAAAGCCUGACGGAGCAACGCCGCGUGAGUGAAGAAGGUCUUCGGAUCGUAAAACUCUGUUAUUAGGGAAGAACAAAUGUGUAAGUAACUAUGCACGUCUUGACGGUACCUAAUCAGAAAGCCACGGCUAACUACGUG